UCAUCUGUUUUGCCAACAGAGGGUAAAAAGUCCCCAUCACGACCCCAUUUUUAUUCCUCAUUUCAGCAAGGCUCCAAACAGUAUGUUCAGUAGAAUUUAGUCUUUCUUGACCCAGACAACUGGGUGAAAAAGGAUAACUUAGUGAAAUUACGCAACUGUAGUCUGCUCUUACCUUUCCAAGUCUACAACAAUUAAACAUGCAAUCUGUCUCAGCAAAUCA